AUCUACCACACCUGCAAUGGCUUUCCAAACAAACAGUAAGAUGUGAUAUUGCCAUUUUAACAUUAUCCUUGAUAUUCUAUUUCAUAGUCAAAAUUUCAUAGCCAAAAUUUUAAAUGCAUGGGGUUUUUCCCACUGUUCAAUCUCACUGUAGUUUACAUAGCUACAAAUAUCUCUUAAAAGCUUUUAAUAAGUAUGCAAACGACACAGACCUGAGAGCCUGGGGAAGAUUCAGUUACUAUAAAGUCUUGAAUCACUGUAUUUUCACAGGCAGCAUCAGCAGAUGGUAUCAGUCCAUAUGAAGUGUUCCUGUGAACUCUGUGAACUCAGAAUGCAUAGUCUUCUCCCUCUCUCCUUUGGGUUCCUUAUUAUUAUCUCCAAGGGAUAUUCACCUGUGCUGCUCUUCCCCUGCACUUUGUUCAGUGCUCUGUUCCCACUCACAUUUAUCUUCUCUAAUUUCCUUCAGGCAUUGGUCACAUAGUGGAGCAUGAUGGACUCCACUACGGUGGUCAUUGCCAUUAUACAUGAGUUACUGCUCCUAAUUUCAUUUGCAGCCCUGGUUUAUUUAUUCGUUCUUUUGCAGGAGCUUUUUUUACUCUUUUGCCUCAGACCCUACAUAGUAAUAACUGCAGUUUUAAUUUAACAGUUCUGUGCUGGUUAGGAACUUUUACAAACUGAUAACUAACUGCAUAUACUCUGCAAGUACCAUUGCCUCUGAUGUGAAAGGCAAUAACCCUCGAGAGGACCAGAAGAGAGCCUGCUGCGUGCAGCAAGUCCUUGCAGCAGGCAGAGAAAGUAUGGCAGAGCUUUAGGUAAAAGCGGGAUAUAAUUAACCAUGUUGGAAUUUGACCAGGAUAUCAGGGUUAACACCGCUGCUCCUGUGAGAAGUGUCUUGGGAGUUCCUCAGCAGCAGGCAGCCAGGACCUCUUGUUUCCAUCACAUUCCAGGCACUACAUGACAGCUACCCAAAUACACUUUGCCUUAAUGAAACAGAAAUGCACAUAUAAUACCUACAAUUUGGAACCAAGGUAUGGACUUUAUCCCACAACAGAUAAUUCAGAGUUGUGAAUUAUUCAGAGUGAAAAAGGACUUCUGUAUUUUGGUUCUGGACCUUAUCUAUUGUGAAAUAGUAAUGAUGAAAUCCAUCACUGGUGAAGCUGUGCAGCUCACAGGAUUCUUGAACAACUCUAUGUGCUUGUGGUUGACUCUAAGUCUAGAGGUGGGUAUUUCUUGCAUUAGGCUUUUAUGCACUGCCUCCAAAUGCUGUUUGGAAAGAGCUGUGGUCACGGACUUUUCACAGCGCUCCAGGCUGCAUAUGGAGAUUGAUGUGCAGGCAGAAGUCCCAGUACUUACAGCAUUCCAGAAGACUCACCCAGAUGCUUCCUCUGCAUGUGCUUUUCAACUACUUAUGUUUCUAUCUUAAAUGAGCUGCUCUAGCUCUUGCACUAUGAGCUAGUUGCCUUCCUGAGGCCUUUUCUAGCCCCAGGUUUUUAUUACUUUCCUGUGAGUCAUGCAUACCAUGGAUUGAUACAGCUCCGCCCUGCCCAGGAAGACUGCAGUGACAAACAGCUGCUGGUGAUGGGAGGAAUGAAGCUUCUUUAAUUCCUACAGUAAAUCUCUGCUUGCUACCAGCAACAACCAGAGAGUUAUGGAAAAGUGGCCAAGAAUUUUUCACUGAUUAGUGUAUGGACUGAGAGAUUUGCUGUAUGCCAAUGUUUUGCAUAACCCAAAAUUAUUAAAUUGGGUGAACUGUAUUCACUUAGGUUCAAAUUAGUACAUUUGUCACCAGAAAUUUCCAAACAAUUACAUUAUUCCUCCCACAGACAAGAGAUUGUGAACACUGGCAAAGUUUAGACCUUCCUAUUUUAUACGUUUCCAUAUGUUGGGCAUGGAAGAGAAACAUAUAAUUUCUUUCCCAAAUGUAUUCCCUCCUGUGUAAUGUGAAUGUAUUACGUGUAAUCAUAUUCCAAGGCAAUAAGAUUAGACAAAUUACUGUACUCUAAAAAGUGACAUUAAAAAUUGCCUCUCCAUCUUUAUUAGCUUACCUUUUCUCAGUCAAAUAUAUUUGGCGUACAAGAAAAAUAAUGUUUUUCAUUCUGACCUCAGGCUUCCCAAAUUCAAACAGAGCUAUGGGUCAACAGCUGAAUGAGAAAAGGUUUGUCAGAAUGAUUCAGAUCCUUUUUGACACCUCAACAUCUUCAAAUUACUGCUUAUGUCAGGCAUAAGUGAAAGGCUGGGAACAAGCACAUGGUUCAGAUGAUGAUCUGUGCACAGGAAUUCAAAUAACUCUGAUCCACUCCAUGUGAAAUGAAAAAGGAACAUAACUUUUUUUUUUGUCACUGUAGUUACAGCAAAAGAGUAAAACAAGAGUCAGCCAAUGUAAUGAGUUAGAAAUGUUUUAUAUUAGCUUUACAUAGCAGAGUGAAUGCGAAUCUUUUCUUCAUGUUUUUUGCCAAAAGAUGUUUUGGAGACUAUCUGUAGGCAACACAUACCAGGCAAAGUGAUUUUGCUACAUGGUUAUUAAAAAACAAUACUGCCACAAUUGCUUGGCUAGAAAGGGCUGUACAGAAGCUGUCUUCCUUCUGAUGGCUUUGGGCAGCAGCAGAAGUAAGGAAUACCACAUGGGCUUCUGUGUAAUUUCAAACCUGACAGUUCUCCCUCCAACUGGCAGGAGCCCAGGAGCAGCUUUCCAGGCCUGUCUGGGUCCUGAAGAAGGAUGUGUUUGGUAGAAAAAUGAAAUUAUCUCCUUUUCAGCUUCAUGGUAAUUUUAAUAAAGUGUUAAUAGAGCUGAGCAUGUAGGCUUUGACCUUGAAAUUACCGUUGGCCACAAGAUGAAGAGCAAAAAUAAGAUAUCUGUAAAGUGGCACAUGCAAGACGAUUCACAACAACCCACAGCUGCAGCUUCAUUUAGAGGCAGCCAUCUCCUGAUGUGCUUGAGCUAGCUCCCCGUUUCUGGGCACAGAGAGGUAUGUAUGGUUGCUGCAGCUUUGCUGCAGGUCUGGGGACCCUUCAUGAAACCUGCAGGUAGGGGACAUCCUGUUCCAUCCUCUAGCUGUGGGGCACUGGGACCUGAAACUGUGACUACAGAGAGAGACGUUUGCUCUAGAGUUAGGGAAAAAAGCAAUUAAGAAAAAGUCAUAUUGAAUCAAAGGUAACAAAUAAGUAGCCAAAAUAGAGCAGCUCCUGCUGAUGGAGGAGAUGGUGGCCAGUUCCACACAGUUCCACACCACUGCCACGGCACUGCUUUACACUGUGAAUGGGCUGUUUGUGCUUCUUCAAGCUUGGUGGCUUUGAACAAGAGACACAAUUGGAGGGACUGUUUCUGGCAGGCUUUGGCUGUGGCUGAAGGCAGAUGUCCCGGCUGGUGGGAGACACCUGGUGGGUCAGUGGAGCAGAAACGUGAGGGUGGGACAGCCUGGUUGCCAUCACUGCUGCUGGCAGGUGUGGGGUGCCACAGCUGCCCCUUCUCACACAGGCAAAUUCACCAGUCUCACAUGCAACCAGGUGAUGGCAAAGCUCUCCAACCUGGCUGGAAAUGGCUGGAUGGCAACCCUUGAAGUAGACCAUAGAAAUGCUGCUUCAUAGAGGCCAUGUGUUCUAUUCUGUUUCAUAGCAACCAGCCCAUGGCUGGAACUCAAUAAGCUUUAGCUACCAUGAGCUGUUUUGUGCCUUCCAUCGGGACUCUUUCUCUAUGCUUUAGCUUUUGUUUUUCCAUCUCCCGGGCAUCAACAGAAAGCUGUAAACAGGAGGAUCUGGGCUGAGCACCAGUUCUGCAAAGCAAUAAACCAGUCUGGACUAAGUUACUGAAGGUCUUUGAAGUACUGGAAGACCCAUAAAUAAGGCAAACACAUUUGAGCCCUUGUUGAGCCAAACCUCAAAAACCAUCUAAAGAUGUGCAAAAGCAAAGGUUUUCUGAAGAUAGGGAGAGCAGUGGAGUCCUACAAGCUCUGGGAUAAUUUGAGCUUUUCAGGAGGGCAUAGCACACCCAAAUCACCUCAUCGCUUCAUCUGGAAUCAAUCACAGAAGGUCCACUGAUGUCAAGAAAACUAUGCUCAUUUGCAUCAGCACGUGACCUGGUCCUAUCUCUUUGUGAUCUUUAGAUCAACAGUGCUCCCAUUGGGAUUCAUGAUCUCAGAGGAAUCUAAACGCACUUUCUAAUCUA